rnacentral:rRNA from 1 species
GAUGAACGCUAGCGGCAGGCUUAACACAUGCAAGUCGAGGGGCAGCAUGAGACGGAGAUUCGUCGAAGUCUUGAUGGCGACCGGCGCAAGGGUGCGUAACGCGUGAGCAACUUGCCCGUUUCAGGGGGAUAACCGGUGGAAACGCCGACUAAUACCCCAUAGUAUCACUUUAGGGCAUCCUUUAGUGAUUAAAGAAUUUCGGAAACGGAUAGGCUCGCGUGACAUUAGCUAGAUGGCGGGGUAACGGCCCACCAUGGCGACGAUGUCUAGGGGUUCUGAGAGGAAGGUCCCCCACACUGGAACUGAGACACGGUCCAGACUCCUACGGGAGGCAGCAGUGAGGAAUAUUGGUCAAAUGGUCUGACGACUGAACCAGCCAUGCCGCGUGAAGGCGACGGCCCUAUGGGUCUUAAACUUCUUUUGUAAGGGAGCUAAUAAGGAUCACGUGUGGUCUGAUGAGAGUACCUUAGAAUAAGCAUCGGCUAACUCCGUGCCAG